GGGGCGUUAGCUCAGUUGGUAGAGCAGUUGACUUUUAAUCAAUUGGUCGCAGGUUCGAAUCCUGCACGACCCA
rnacentral:tRNA from 1 species